rnacentral:rRNA from 1 species
AUGAUAUAUAUGAGCUGGAACUGCCGGGGGCUUGGGAACCCCGAGGCAGUUCGUGAGCUUCGCAACAUUGUGAAGCUGGAAGGACCCACUCUACUCUUCGUAAUGGAAACCAAGAUUAAAGCAAAAAGAGUAGAGGAGUUGAGGUAUACUCUAGGUUUUGGAGGUUGCUUUGCUGUCGAUAGUGUCGGCCUUAGUGGCGGCAUCGGCUUGUUCUGGUCCCGCGAAGUAAAUGUUGAAUUAAAGAACUUUAGCAACUGUCAUAUUGAUGUUGUGGUUAAUGGGAAUGCUCAGAAUUCUUCUCCCUCAUGA